rnacentral:rRNA from 1 species
AGCGAACGUUAGCGGCGGGCCUAACACAUGCAAGUCGAACGCGAAAGGUCUUCGGACUGAGUAGAGUGGCGCACGGGUGAGUAACACGUAGGUAAUCUACCCUUUGGCGGGGGAUAACGUUCCGAAAGGAGCGCUAAUACCGCAUAAGACCACGGAGUCUCCGGACGCUGUGGGAAAAGGUGGCCUCUUCUUGAAAGCUACCACCGAAGGAUGAGCCUGCGUCCCAUCAGCUAGUUGGUAAGGUAAUGGCUUACCAAGGCGAAGACGGGUAGCUGGUUUGAGAGAAUGAUCAGCCACACUGGCACUGGAACACGGGCCAGACUCCUACGGGAGGCAGCAGUGAGGAAUAUUGGGCAAUGGGCGAAAGCCUGACCCAGCCACGCCGCGUGAGUGAUGAAGGCCCUCGGGUCGUAAAGCUCUGUGGAGAGGGACGAAAACCCUGGUUUCAAAUAGGCUCCAGGCUUGACGGUACCUCUUUAGCAAGCACCGGCUAACUCUGUGCCAGC